CCUACGGGUGGCAGCAGUGGGGAAUAUUGGACAAUGGGGGGAACCCUGAUCCAGCGACGCCGCGUGAGUGAAGAAGUAUUUCGGUAUGUAAAGCUCUAUCAGCAGGGAAGAAAGAAAUGACGGUACCUGACUAAGAAGCCCCGGCUAACUACGUGCCAGCAGCCGCGGUAAUACGUAGGGGGCAAGCGUUAUCCGGAAUUACUGGGUGUAAAGGGAGCGUAGACGGUGAUGUAAGUCUGGAGUGAAAGGCGGGGGACCAACCCCCGGACUGCUCUGGAAACUAUGUGACUGGAGUGCAGGAGAGGUGAGCGGAAUGCCUAGUGUAGCGGUGAAAUGCGUAGAUAUUAGGAGGAACACCAGUGGCGAAGGCGGCUCACUGGACUGUAACUGACGUUGAGGCUCGAAAGCGUGGGGAGCAAACAGGAUUAGAUACCCGGGUAGUC
rnacentral:rRNA from 1 species